rnacentral:lncRNA from 1 species
AAGUUAGUAGCAUGUUGCUAGCAUGUUUCUAGCAUGAUUAGCAUGCUACUAGCAUGUUGCUAGCAUGAAUAAGAAGUUACUAUCAUGUUGUUUGUAUGUUUUUAGCAUGAUUAGCAUGUCGCUAGGAUAGAUAGAUUUCUAGCAUGAUUAAGAUAUCGCUAGAAUAGAUAGAUAGAUAGAUAGAAAUAGUCUGAUGAUAGAUAGAUAGAUAGAUAGAUAGACUAGGAUAGAUAGAUUUCUAGCAUGAUUAAGAUAUCGCUAGAAUAGAUAGAAAUAGUCAGAUGAUAGAAAGAAAGAAAGAAAGAAAGAAAGAAAGAAAGAAAGAAAGAAAGAAAUAUUCAGAUGAUAGAUAGAUAAAUAGAUAGAUUAAUAGAUAGAUGAGUUUGAAUCAGUUUGAAUGGGUUAGAAAUAGUACUUAGAAGGCAAGUCUGAUUGAGUCUAAUGGGCUUCAGUGUGUUUAGAUUUGAAUUUUGACAGUUGGAAUUUGACGGAAUGUUCUGGUGAGCAGACUUUUCAAUGUAAGUCUAUGGGAUUUUUAUGAUUUUUAACAUUCAUUUUUAUGAAAACCGUAAGUCCAAUCAGUUAGAAAAGAUAUAGCAACUAACUUCAGAUCAGUCUGAAGAUAUGGGCUGAGUUUGGAGUCUGUAGAGUUAAAGCUCUAGGAGGAGUUAGAGUUGAUAAUUUAGUCUCAGAAGAA